CGAGCGGUACCGACGGGAGCUUGCUCCCUUCUGUCAGCGGCGGACGGGUGAGUAACACGUGGGUAACCUGCCUGUAAGACUGGGAUAACUCCGGGAAACCGGGGCUAAUACCGGAUGCUUGAUUGAAGCGCGUGGUUCAAUCAUAAAAGGUGGCUUUUAUCUACCACUUACAGAUGGACCCCCCGCGCAUUAGCUAGUUGGUGAGGUAACGGCUCACCAAGGCGACGAUGCGUAGCCGACCUGAGAGGGUGAUCGGCCACACUGGGACUGAGACACCGCCCAGACUCCUACGGGAGGCA
rnacentral:rRNA from 1 species